rnacentral:tRNA from 1 species
ACAUCGGUAGCACAGUGGCUAGUGCAGUCCGCCAGAAACAGAAGGACGCGGGUUCAACUCCUGCCCGAUGAC